GAUGAACGCUAGCUACAGGCUUAACACAUGCAAGUCGAGGGGUAGCACGGAGGAAGCUUGCUUCCUUGGGUGACGACCGGCGCACGGGUGAGUAACGCGUAUCCUACCUACCCAUUACUCGGGCACAGCCGCUCGAAAGAGUGAUUGAUUCCCGAUAUGUCAUUAGAGUAGAUCUAAUGAUGAAAGAUUUAUCGGUUAUGGAUGGGGAUGCGUAAGAUUAGGUAGUAGGCGGGGUAACGGCCCACCUAGCCGACGAUCUUUAGGGGUUCUGAAAGGAAGGUCCCCCACACUGGUACUGAGACACGGACCAGACUCCUACGGGAGGCAGCAGUGAGGAAUAUUGGUCAAUGGGCGGGAGCCUGAACCAGCCAAGUAGCGUGAAGGAUUACAGCCCUACGGGUUUUAAACUUCUUUUAUAUAAGAGUAAUGUGCACUACGUGUAAUGUAUUGCAAGUAUUAUAUGAAUAAGCAUCGGCUAACUCCGUGCCAGCCGCCGCCGUAAUAC
rnacentral:rRNA from 1 species